AGCUUUGCGCAGUGGCAGUAUCAUAGCCAAUGAGGUUUAUCCGAGGCGCGAUUAUUGCUAAUUGAAAGAAUCUCUAACACAAAUAAAAACUGAAGGACUUUUUACCAGUAGGACCGCCUU
rnacentral:snRNA from 1 species